rnacentral:rRNA from 1 species
GUCUGCGGCCACGCAGCCCUGAACAUGCCGAUCCUGUCUGAUCUCGGAAGCUAAGCAGGGUCGGGCCUGGUGGAUGGGAGACCACCUAGGAAGACUAGGUGCUCUAGGUG